rnacentral:rRNA from 1 species
UACAGAGGGUGCGAGCGUUGUUCGGAAUUAUUGGGCGUAAAGCGCUUGUAGGCGGCACGUCAAGUCGCGUGUGAAAUCCCCAGGCUUAACCUGGGAAGUGCGCGCGAAACUGACGAGCUUGAGUGCCGGAGAGGGUCGCGGAAUUCCCGGUGUAGAGGUGAAAUUCGUAGAUAUCGGGAGGAACACCAGUGGCGAAGGCGGCGACCUGGACGGACACUGACGCUGAGACGGCGAAAAGCGUGGGGAGCAAACAGGG